rnacentral:rRNA from 1 species
CCUACGGGAGGCAGCAGUGGGGAAUAUUGGGCAAUGGGCGCAAGCCUUACCCAGCAAUACCGCGUGAGUGAAGAAGGUCUUCGGUAUGUAAAGCUCUUUGAUCAGGGACGAACAGAUGACGGUCCCUGAAGAACAAGCCCCGGCUAACUACGUGCCAGCAGCCGCGGGAAAACGUAGGGGGCGAGGGUUGUCCGGGAUGACUGGGCGUAAAGGGUGCGUAGGCGGGAUAAUAAGUUAGAAGGGGAAUGCCCAGGGCUUAACUCGGGUACUGCUUCUAAGACUGUUGAGCUUGAGUGCGGGAGAGGUAAAUGGAAUUCCUAGUGUAGCGGUGAAAUGCGUAGAUAUUAGGAGGAACACCAGAGGCGAAGGCGAUUUACUGGACCGUAACUGACGCUGAGGCACGAAAGUGUGGGGAGCAAACAGGAUUAGAUACCCCAGUAGUC